UUAGCACUUAUUGGAGAGAACUCAGGUAUACCUGGCUUUGGUUCUAGAUGUAAAUCCAAUUGAUAUUUCUUGAAGGAAAAUUAUCUGUAUCCUUAAUUAAGAUCAGCAAAAUACCCGUUAUGCUUUGGAAACUACAUGUUGAAUGCAUGUUUAGAUUUCUAAUUUUUUAAUUAUUUACUAAUAACUUUUUUUUUUUCAGAACCCUGUGAUAAUAUGAGAGAGAUUCUUCAAAAUGUGGCCAAAUUACAAGGCAUUUCAAAUAUGAGAAAACUAGGUCACUUGAAUAAUUUUACUAAGCUUCUUUGUAAUACUGGCCAUGCUGAAGAAAACCUAGGUUUUACGUAUGACAGCAUCAUAAUAUGGUAAGUAGUAAGGAACAUUAGAGUAAUACUAUGGUACUUUCAUUGUUCUAGGUGCAAUUAAAUCAACUUUAUUUGUAUUUUUGGAACUAGUAUUUCGUAGUUGCAAUGUGUUUAAAAUGUCAUAAUGCAAAUGUAUACCUUACUAAUAUUUUAAUGAGUAAAAUCAGAAAUACAUUAUACACUUUCAGGUAAAGGGGGGAAAAACUCCAAGUUAGUGCGGAUUUUUUUAUUAUAUUUUCUUAGAAAUGUAAAAAUACCUCUACAUAUCUCAGUACUUGCAGAAAGGACUUGUACAAAAAAUGUGCUCUUAAAGAAUUUGGAACAUAUUCUUAAUGUAGAACUAAGAUUUAAAGAUGAACUUAUGUUCAUUUGUUAUGUUUGUACAUAUACUUUGUAGUGCCACUUUCCUUGCAGCUAAAAUAAAACACUGUAUAUAUUUUCAAAUCACCCAUCUAGUCGAUCAGGGGAAGCCAGUUGAUGUAAUCUUUUUGGAUUUCAGUAAAACUUUCAAUACAGUUUCUCAUAGGAUACUACUGGA